AGACUGAAAUAGCUACACACACAUAUAGACAGAUAUAGGCCUAGAUCUGAAUACACUUACAUACACAAAAACAAAACAAAAAAAUGUUUCUACAUUUCCUUAAGAUUUUUUCUCUUUCAAAAAGGAAAAACUUCUGAAAAUCAUUCUUGAUCUUUCAGAAUCAAAAACUACAUUCCUUUCUUCUUAUUUUUGAAAUCUGGUCGUCUUUCUUAUUCUACUGGGUUUCAUUGCGGUUGCUUUGCUUCAAGCUUUGUUCAGAGACUUAUUUUCAUGUUUGUUUUGUUUCUCUUGCUGCUAUCAAGGUACUUUCUAAACAAUGUAGAAAUUUCCAUUUUUUGUUAUUAUUAUGUUUCCUUUGCUGUUUAUCAAAGUUUGUGGUUGGUUUGAAUGUGACUUUGUGCUUAAGUUAAGUUAUUACAUAAAUCAUGUUAGUAAAAGUCAGUGUUGUAAAUAGAGAAUGCUACGUCGCUAAUAGCGUGUGACGAAGCGGCGCGAGGCAGUAGCGUUAUUUUGGUCUGUUGCGGUGCGAUUCUGAAAAAGCGUAUGCCUCUGCCUGUGUAGCGAGAGGCGUAGCGUAGCGACGCUAUUUGGAGAAAAAGAAGUAAAAGGCAGCGAUAGUGUAAAAUACAAAUAUUAGGGCUUGGAUUUUAACUUCUUCUCCUUCAGCGAAUACAACUAAGCAACUUCAAAAAUUAGGGCUUGGGAUUCAUCUUCUCCAUAAUCAAACAUCAGCACAGUAAACCAGGUAUGUUACUUUCUUUUCUUUUCUUCUUCUCCUUUCUUUUUCUUCUCCUUUCCUUCGACAGUCGGCACUUCGAUUGGUCUUUCUUUCUUUCUUCCCUUCCUCUUUCUUCUUCUCUCAUUUUUUUUUGGGGUCUGUUUUUCGACAGCAGAGGCGGUAGCAGUAGUCUCUUUUUAGGCUCUGUUUUUUUUGCUAUAUUUUUUCAAUUAUAAACUUAGUCUUAUAGAGUAGAAUUAAUUGCAUAUUGACUUGAUAAUUUUUUUUCUAUAAAACAGCAUUGAAAAAGCGUCAUCCGAUAGUAAUAAACGAAAUAAUAUAGCUUGGAAUUAUGCUAUAAAAGGCUCAUCAAGAUCCGCAAUUAAAUAUUUGUGUUGUGAAUAAACAUAUCAUGGUGGAAUAACUCGUCAUAAGUAACAUUUGAUAGGUGGAUUUAAAAAUAUAGUACAAUGUCCUCUUUGUCCUCCCGAGGUUAGGGAGGAAGUAAAAGCAUUUGUUGAUAAGAAAAAUGUGACAAAAACUCAAAUGAAUUAAGAAGCAUCGGUGAAUCUAAUUGAUGAAGAUGAUGAAAUGGGACCCUCCCCCCCCAAAAAAAAAAAAACUCAAAAGAUAUCUUCAAAUAGUUCUAGUGGGUCAUCCACGGCACGUACUGUGACAAAAGGUCCUCUCAAUCUUUAUUUUUCGGCAAAACAACAAGAAAAGGGAAAAGGUGAUUCUAGUUCAGGUUUAGAAGCCAAGAAGAUUUUGAGGGAUCGCGCUGUAAGUGCCUUUGCAGUAUGGAUGUACGAUGCAGGGCUUCCUUUCAAUUGUGUUAACUACAAAACUUUUGAUAAAUUCAGUGAGGUCGUAGGACAAUAUGGCCCAUGAAUAAAGCCUCCUAGCUAUCAUGAAGUUAGAGUAACUCAUCUUUAAAAAGAGGUGAAGAAGAUAGACAAAAUUAUUGAGGAGCAUAAAGUGGAAUGGAACAAGUUUGGAUAUUCCAUUAUGAUGGAUAAAUGGACAGCGCGGAAUGCGAAAAUGAUCAUAAAUGUGUUGGUGAACUCUCCAAAAGGGAGUAUUUUUCUUGAAUCUUAUGAUGCUAGCAACUCUUCUAUGGAUGGAAGCAAAAUGUAUAGCUUGUUUAGAAAGACUAUUGAUAAAAUUGGAAAGAAAAAUGUUGUACAAGUUGUUACCGAUAAUGCUAGUGAGAAUGUUAGUGCGGGUAAGAUGAUGGAAGCUAUGUAUCCACACAUUUAUUGGACUCCAUGUGCUGCCCAUUAUAUCAACUUGAUGUUUGGUGACAUAUUCAAGGAAAACUCAUAUGCUUCAGUUUUCACUAAGGCCGUCAAGAUAUAUUCUUAUAUCAGUCAGAGGCCGUUGUUGUUGAAUUUGAUGAGAAAAUUCACAAAUAAAAGAAAUUUGGUGAGACCGGUCAAGACUAGAUUUGCAACGGCUUUCUUAACUUUGCAUAGUUUUUACUUGCAAAAGAAAAACUUGAGAAACCUAGUUCUUUCAAAUGGAUGGAAAGAUAAUAGAUAUGCAAAGUAAGCUACGGGGAAAGAAGUUGCCAAAGUUCUUAUUUCUCCAUCAUUUUGGAAUGACGUUGUUCGGGCUCUUAAAGUUGGUGGUCCUUUGAUUAGGGUGCUUCGUAUGGUGGAUGGAGAGAGAAAACCACCAAUGUGCUAUCUUUAUGAAGCUAUGGAUAGAGCCAAAGAGACUAUUGAAGCGUCAUUUGAGGGAGAUGUUAUGAAAUAUGAGAAAUAUUUUGAGAUUAUUGAUAGCAGGUGGUCGAAUCAACUCCAUCGACCUUUGCAUGCAGCAGGCCAUCUUCUGAACCCAGGAUUAUUUUACAAGAACACUAGAGAUGACACUUUGGAUUCAAAGGUUUGGGUUAGAUACCAUCAAUGUCUUGAGAAGUUGGUCCCUGAUUCAGCGAUUUGUAGAUCAAAUAAGGAAGAAAUUUGAUAGGUACUCACAAGCAGAUGGCCUUUUUGGUUUACAGGCGGCCAUUAGAGCCAGAGACAUAAGGUCGCCAGUUGAAUGGUGGAUGCAAUUUGGACAUCAAACUCCAAACUUGCAAAAGUUUGCCAUCAAAAUACUAAGCCUAACUUGUAGUGCAUCCGGAUGCGAGAGAAAUUAGAGCGUAUUUGAGCAUAUUCACUCCAAGAAAAGGAAUAGGCUUGAGUUAUCGCAUCUCAAUGAUCUAGUGUAUAUUAAAUACAAUAGAACAUUGAGGCGACGUUAUGAAGCUCGCGAUACCAUUGAUCCAAUUUUGUUGGAUAACAUUGACGAGGCAAAUGAAUGGUUAACUGGAGCCCCCCAAAAUCAUAAAGAAGAACAAGUGUAUGUAGGAGAUGAUCUUGAUUGGGGUACUGUUUCUAUGGCGGCUGGAGUUGAGGAGAAUAUCUAUGGUCUUAGAGGGAGUUCUUCAAGUUCAGAUUACAAGGGAAAAUGAGUAGCAAGUUCAAACCGGUCCCUAAAUAAUGAAAACUCCGAGGAUGAAGAAGAUGAUAGCCAAUAUAAUGCUAACAUUCAUGAAGUU